CGUGAAUGUAGAUUAAAACGUGAAAGAAUUGACAGUUGUAGGUUGAAGACAUACGCUGGCCUGCAGUAGAAACACCUAACGGAAUUACGUAAGAUCAGCUGUUCGACUUGGCUUGUAUAUACUAACAGAACCAGUAACAGUAACAGUAUAUUUAGAAGAACCUUGAGCAGAACAAAUACGUACAGCUAGACUCCACCAAAUCCGCCGCAGUGAUGUCAGUCUGCACAAACAUCGUCAUCCCUACAUUUGACUUGUUGUUAUGUACGACACGUCGAUGCACCAAAAACGCGAAUUACUGAUGCAGGUAUCCGCGAUACGCGGUUGUAUCGAAAGUGCAAAGACUGUAGGGUACCGCGGCAAAAGCAACGUGCGACUGCUCGCGGGCAACACAGACGAGACUCGAGUCUCUCAAGUCGUGCCACUCCGACUCCCGCGGCUUAUAAGGAGCGGCUCUGACGGCUCGGAACGCGACGCUGACUACCGGAAAACCGUCGCAAAAUGCUACAGAAGUGGCAGUUAGGUCGGUUUGUCACGUUAUUUUCGUUACAACAUUCUUGAUUCACCUACCUGUACACCUUCAACUGCUAGGCAGUGCCGGAAACAGGCAAAAAAAGAUUUUUCCUCGUUGGAAAUUACGUCGCUAGCUAUUGAGGACGGAUAUUGUAUAUUUAAGAUAGUUAUGGGACCAUCAACGCGAAAUUAAUAUUGCCGUUGAUUAUUCUUUUAUUUUCAUCCAGACGCGGUCUGUUAUAAAAAAUUAAAUGGCAAUGAUAGGGGAAUUGGAAUGCGCACAGAAACAAGCAUUUUCCAUGCAAUGUACCAGUUUUUGUCUACCUAUUAACAAAAAAUCCAAUUCAAUGGUCGUAGGAAUAACUAUUUCUAUUCCUGAUUACGGAAGUUUUCUAUUGUUAAUAUGGAAAUUGUGCUGGGAUUGUAGUAGAUAGAAUAAAUAUGCAAACACUGUUAUAGCAUGCAAAAAUUAGUCAAGUUUAUGUAUUUAUCGAAACAUAAAAAAAAUAACUACG